CAGGGCUUAGCUAAACAACGAAUAGCAUCUCCCUUACACUGAGAAGUCACCCGUGCAAACCGGGUCGUCCUGA
rnacentral:tRNA from 1 species